CUUUCUUUUCUUCCUCACCUUUCGAAUCUUUCUCCUAGAUUAAGGAGAUUGUUGUUUUGUUGUUAGUGGUUGCCAUCAUCAUCACAUUGAAAUCAACUUUAGUUAAUACUAGCCUCCUGCACGCGCUCACGGGCGUGCGGAAGGCCCUUUUGUAAUUAAGGCAUUCUACGUGCGACUUAAAUAAUUUAAAUGAUAACAAAAGAGCGGUUGCUCUCUGAUCUAAUUGCAGACACAAUCUGCAGAACCGUCUUCUAUGGGAUUUGAACUUGUGAAGUGUGAGGUGGAGACCUGAAUGUAACAAAUUGGUGUUAAGUGAAUAAUUCCAAACAUAUAAAAUUUAGAUCAUCACACCGAACGCAAACAGAACAAUUAAAUAAACAACUGAAGGCAUACGCAAUCUAAUUAGACAAAUAAGUGAACUUUCCCAUGCCGAAAUCUGAAAGGCCAACAGAAAUAUCUCAUUACAGCACAGAAGACAAAACUUAGGACAAAACUUAAAACUAAUCAAACUUAGGUGAACCAAUUAUAGAGAACAUAACCCUUGUAACCAAUCGGGAAAAGAUGCUUUUAAAUCCCAGAAAAAAAAAUUAAGAGGAGUUUUUUAAAAAACCAUCAUUUCAAUUAUUUUCCAGUCUUACAUUUGGAUUAAACAGAAAAUAUAAGUAAAAAUGCCAACUUUCUAAAAAAACUACAACUAUUUUUACAAAUUUCCAUUACCCAAUGCUGAAAAAUGAGAAUCACGAAGCAAUGAAGAACGGAACACGCGAGAACCAAAAAGUUAAAAACAACACGUAACCAUUUCAAAGACCCAAAAUCCUGCAAGGACAAAAAAAUCCCAUAAAAUCAGUACAUCAGCACUCCCUGCAAAACCCCAAAAUCAGAAAAUUAUAAAAAGAACCCAAAAUCAGUGGCAUGGUCCUCGUUUCUCCAUCAUUCAGUAGCUAAUGACCUAAUGGAAAAGAACCCAAAACAUACAGCUUAAAAUAUGGAAAGUGCUUAUAAAAGCUCAUGAAUAACGUUCAAAGCCUGCAUAGAAAUGGUAUAGCGCAGAUAACAACAAACAAUAAAACUAUGCACAGUAUAACCUAAAUCCGAUAUGUUGCAUUCCCCACACACAGAUUGUUCAAAAUUAAUUUCGUCUCCGUCUUUUUUCAAAUCUGAUAAAAUCCCCAAAACACAAAAAAUAGCAGCUAACUAUUUUUUGAACUCUGUAAACAACGAUAUGCAUCUUAACCCAUUUAACAUAUUCAUAAAAUAACAUCAAACACAUUUAUGCAUGAGAUAAUAUAGAAGUGAAGUCUCACAACUUUCAUAAAAAAUUAUUACUUUGUUAGAGAAAGGCUUGAAAAAAUAUGUAAAUUACUCACCUCUAUUACAAAAAUGUUACAACAGUAGACAAAAAAGGCCAAAAAUACCAAAAGCCGCACCUCCUGAAAUAAAAAACAUAACCAAACGACACAUUCUCAGUAUCUAAACGAUAUCCAGAAAAAAAGAAAUGAACAGACGAAACCCAUGUAAAUAUACAGAACAAACCAAAAAAAAAAAAAAGAACUGAAGCCAGUAAGAAGAUCACAAAUCUGAUAAAGCAAAAGGUAACAUAAUCUAUAUCGAUUUAAUUAUCCAUCCAAAAAGACAUUUGAAUGAAGAACAUUUUUAAGGAUCCAAACAACCAUUAAACUAAACAAUUAAAAGUAAAAACAGCAAAGCAUUCAUUGAAGAAAUAUAUAUAUAUAUAUAUAUUAUAACGUAUUUUGUUCUUUAUACCUAAAAGAAAAACAUUGGCUUUCUUGUAUGCACUGAAGUAUGCAUGUGUCGGAAAUUUACAAUCUAUAGAGACUCAAUCUCAGACUCAAAAAGACAUCUAAAGGAAAAGUAAUAAGAAAAAUAAGUAGUGGUUUUACCUAUACUCCAUGUGUGGACUCCAAUUUUCAAUCACAAUUCAAAAUUCAAGAGGCCUAUAAAUCAACCACAUAGGAAAUGAUCAGUGGAAGAAAAAGAAAAACAACUGAAGCCAAAAUAGCAUCUAACAAAUCAUUUAGAACCAUCACAGAAAACAAUUUUUGCAUAUAAGUAAUUUAAAGGAAUACCAUCAGGUCAUGCAUAUAUACAACGUACCCAAUUAGAUAAGUAGCACAUCAACAAUUGAUGAUCAAAAAGUUAGUCAGCCUCAAUUGCUUGAAUCUAAUUAACUCAAAGAUAAUAAACAGUCCAUUUAAUGCACGGGCUGACUAUCAAUUUUAUAAAGCUAUAAUUCUGUGCAGUUCAAAAACCAAGUGGAAGAAUAGGCAAAAACUAUCUCAUCGCCUGUAAAUGUAAUUAACUAAAUAUUAAACUUCACAGCCACAAAUAAACCUAAAUUCCUCCUAAAACUAUCUCAUUUAAGCUUGAUUUUACUAUAAUCUAUAAGUGUGGUAAAAAAUGGGAGGCCAAACGAUUUGUUAACAAAAAAGGUAGACAUAAAAGUAAAAGGAACAGGGCAGACAUUAGUUGAGGAGAAGCUAAUGUCACCUUGAAUUGACGACAAACAGUUCUUAUCUUCUCGAAUUAACGAAGAUAAGUACCAUUUUUCUUUAAUUCAAGGUAAUAUAAAAAGAAAUUAUACCUGUACAGUGUUCAGAUGUAGCAAUCCUAUGCAAUCGGCCAAAUGAUGUGUGUCCUCUCAAAGAUCUGUAUAUCCAUUACAGACUAAUCUUCAGUCUUGCAGAAAAUGAUAUGUUGACUACAAUUUCCCAUACUACUAAAAAACACAAAUAAUUCUAUCUACAAACCAAAUAAUAUGUGCAACUUUAUGCUACAAUGGUAGAAUAAGAUGGUUGUACAGGACGACACAAAGAUUGAGACUUUUUUUUACUUCUAAAAUUCUACACACUUUCGAGCCCUAAAUUUUCCCGGAAACAAAAAAAAGUGAAAGAAGUCGUACCUGGUUUGAGAGAGUGGGACACCAUCGGCGAGUUUGGUGUAGCAGUGAUGGCGGAGAUCUCUGGUGAGAAAGCUAAUAAGAUGGACAAAAUCAUUGAACAAAAAAAACCUCGCUUUUUAAAAUUAAAGUCAACAAAAAUUUGAACAAAGAAAAGAGAACUCAAACCCGAAACAAAUAAGUCGGAGAACUCGCCAGGAAACCCAAAGUUUCUGCAGGAUUGGCGAUUUCCUGAAAACCAAGCUUUUGUAGGUUUAAAAUUUCUUCCCUAAGGCAACAGAUCCAACAUUCCCAACUUUAGCUAUUUCAGCUACAUAAUAGAAAGAAAAAAAAAUUUAUAUAAUUAACUAAUCUGAUUUAAGAUUAAUCGAAAAGCUUGGAAAUUUCAGCUUUAAAAUUACAUGUCAGGCUGCAAAUCUAAUAAAAAGCGUAGAAUUUUAAAAAUGCUGACCUUAAAUACAGAGGCCUUCGCAGGCUGCAAAGAAGCGUUAGAAACCCGAAAAACCGGAUCUCCUGAAACCAAAAACAAAACCAAAUUAACCAUCAUCACCCAUAAUUCGAAGCCACAAACAUAAUCCCCAAAAUUACAACCCAAAAAUUUAAACAAAAAAACCCAUUUAUAAAUCCAAAUUUACACUCCCAAGUGCAAGACUCUAAGCUCCAACUGUUCUUUCUCAACUUUAGCUAUUUCAGCAACAUAACAUAAAUAAAAAGGUCGUACCCAGUGCACAAGGCUCCCGCUUUACGCAGGGUCUGGGAGAGGUGAAUGUCGGCUAGCCUUACCCCCAUUUUAUGGAGAGGCUGCUCCCAAGUCUCGAACCCGAGACCUACCGCUCAUGGGCGAAGACACUUGCCAUCGCACCAAGUGCGACCUCUAGCAACAUAACAUAAAUAAAAAGAUCGUACCCAGUGCACAAGGCUCCCGCUUUACGCAGGGUCUGGGAGAGGUGAACGUCGGCUAGCCUUACCCCCAUUUUAUGAAGAGGCUGGAACAUAACAUAAAUAAAUAAACAAAAUUAAUUUAACUAUAAUUAACUAAUAUGAUUUAAGAUUAAUCAAAAAACUUGGAAAUCUGCUUGAAUCCAAUCUCAAAAUUGAAAACGAACACUUCACUUUUACAAAAGUUGUACAAAGCAAAAAAAAAAAAACAGACAAAUCAAAGUCUCACAAAGGGCCACAACGACAGCAAAAUUGCAACAGAAAGAGGAAAAAUGUUCAAUCAAACCAUUGGAUAACUCUUCUAAGGCAGCCAAAAAAAAACCCACAAAUUCAAAACCACAAAAAUCCAAUCUAAAACAUCGAUUCACAGACUGAGAUGCACAAAAUGAUAUAUUAACAAAUCCAAAACGAAAUACAAAAAUUAAGAACCAACAAGCAAAAAAAUACUGAUUAUCCCCUGCAUACGUGAGCACACGUUCAAAAAGCCUCUCAAAGGCUGAGAUUCAACUUUCAAACAUAAAGACUUUAAGCCACAAUUGUUCUUUCUUAACUUUAGCUACUUCAGUUACAUAAUCGGAAAAAAAAAAUUAUUUAAUUAUAGUUAACUAAUCUGGGUUAAGAUUAAUAAAAAAGCUUGGAAAUUUCAGAUCUAAAAUCACACCUCAGGCUGCAAGUAGAAUCAAAACCAUGGAAUUUCAAAAUCACUGACCUUAAACACACAGGUCUUCGCAGGCUUCAAAGAAAAGUCACAAACUCGAAAAACCCAAUCUCCUGAAAUCGAAAACAAAACCAAAUUAACCAUCAUCACCUAGAAUCCGAAGCUACAAAACAAAAUUCCCAAAAUCAAAACCAAAAAAUUUGAACAAAAAACUCAUUUAAUAUCCAAAUUUACACUCCCAAGCACAUAACAUUCAAAGCAGACAAUUACCCAAAUCAAAUCGACAGCAGGAGAUGCAAUCUUUUAUGGGCUUCAAAUUUUCUUCAAACCGAGACCAAAUUCGCUAGUUUUCAGCAAGAGAGCGUUGCCGUUUGUAACCCCCGAUGAAAAGAUCCAAACAAAUUUGACUAACAGUAGACAGAGAGAGAGAGAGAUAGAGAGAGAGAGGUGAAAAUUACUCGCUGGUGACGAAGCUAAUGAAUUCGGAGACGCAUUCCUGGACGGUGUUCGACUGAUCGGCACGAGUAGAGACACCAGAUCAGAAAGACAGAAAAAUUAGGGUUUGGGAGAUAAAGAAACUGGGGCAGAGAGAGAGGGAAAGAGAAGCAGAAAAGAGGAUAAUUUUAUGCAUUUUUUUUAGCCGCUUUGAAUUUUUUUUGGCCGACAGGCAUUUGCGUCCGAUUAUUUUUGUCGAAGCCGGUGACACCAAAACCGGCCUCCGGCUUUCGGACCAGGAUUGUCUGCCCCUUCAUUUUCCCUGCCAUGU
rnacentral:lncRNA from 1 species